CCUACGGGUGGCAGCAGUGGGGAAUAUUGGACAAUGGGGGAAACCCUGAUGCAGCGACGCCGCGUGAGUGAAGAAGUAUUUCGGUAUGUAAAGCUCUAUCAGCCGGGAAGAAAAUGACGGUACCUGUUUCAGAAGCCCCGGCUAACUACGUGCCAGCAGCCGCGGUAAUACGGAGGAUGCGAGCGUUAUCCGGAUUUAUUGGGUUUAUAGGGUGCGUAGGCGGGGGUGUAAGUCAGCGGUCAAAUUGCGGGGCUCAACCCCGUACUGCCGUUGAAACUGCAUUCCUUGAGUGAGCGAGAAGUAUGCGGAAUGCGUGGUGUAGCGGUGAAAUGCAUAGAUAUCACGCAGAACUCCGAUUGCGAAGGCAGCAUACCGGCGCGCAACUGACGCUGAGGCACGAAAGCGUGGGUAUCGAACAGGAUUAGAUACCCGAGUAGUC
rnacentral:rRNA from 1 species